rnacentral:lncRNA from 1 species
CACUCGCAGUCCGUCUACUCACGUCCCCUAGUCAGCCUCUCACUCUCUACCCGCUGGGCGGUACCCCGCAUCUCGCUCUGGCCGCCCCAGAGGUUCGCGGCUUCUGGACCUGCUGUGCCCCUCUCCAGCCUGGAUCAGGACGGAGAACACCCCCGAAACCCACCUCACCAGCACAGCCGGCGGACCCUUCCGGAGGUGGCCGCAGAGACUAGCCAACUUGCGCGCCCGCCGACCCGGACCACAGCUCCCAGCACACCUCAAGGGCCCACGCCCGCCAGGACUACAAUUCCCGGCGUCCUCCGGAAGCUCAAGUGUACCCAGGCGCGGUGCCUGCUGGGAAUUGUAGUUGACGUUGGUCAGCACGGAGGCCACAGGAUCCCAGCCCGGCCUUUGUGGGACUGAGGUGGCGCUGAGUGGGAGAGCAGCAGGCGAUGCGCGAAAGGCGGGACUUGGAGAUAAAUACUGAGCACCCACAACAGGCAGCCAGCACCACUGCAGAUUGGAUACUGCAAUGAUGAUAAGCAUGGCCUGCCUUUAUGGAGGUUCUGGAUGUUCCUGUGGAUAACCUCAAGGAGCACGGGACCUGGGACAUGACUGCCCCCAGCAUUCCUUCUGGCGGCAGACAGAGUUUGUCAGUUCGCCAACAUCCUGCUUUCAUGAGAACAGUUUGCUGUUUGCUCACAGAGCCUCCAGUGGUAUACUGAGUUGGUCACGACCCUCAUUCCUUCGGCCUCCAACAUCUCCCCUUUUGUUUUUGCAUUAAUUGAAUAAAGGUAAUUUCAGGCUGUGCAGCUUUCAA